rnacentral:rRNA from 1 species
GACGAACGCUGGCGGCGUGCCUAAUACAUGCAAGUCGAGCGAGCUGAAUUCAAAGAUUCCUUCGGGAUGAUUUGUUGGACGCUAGCGGCGGAUGGGUGAGUAACACGUGGGCAAUCUGCCCUAAAGACUGGGAUACCACUUGGAAACAGGUGCUAAUACCGGAUAAGAAAGCAGAUCGCAUGAUCAGCUUAUAAAAGGCGGCGUAAGCUGUCGCUAUGGGAUGGCCCCGCGGUGCAUUAGCUAGUUGGUAAGGUAACGGCUUACCAAGGCAAUGAUGCAUAGCCGAGUUGAGAGACUGAUCGGCCACAUUGGGACUGAGACACGGCCCAAACUCCUACGGGAGGCAGCAGUAGGGAAUCUUCCACAAUGGACGCAAGUCUGAUGGAGCAACGCCGCGUGAGUGAAGAAGGCUUUCGGGUCGUAAAACUCUGUUGUUGGAGAAGAAUGGUCGGCAGAGUAACUGUUGUCGGCGUGACGGUAUCCAACCAGAAAGCCACGGCUAACUACGUGCCAGCAGCCGCGGUAAUACGUAGGUGGCAAGCGUUAUCCGGAAUUAUUGGGCGUAAAGGGCUCGUAGGCGGUUCGUCGCGUCCGGUGUGAAAGUCCAUCGCUUAACGGUGGAUCCGCGCCGGGUACGGGCGGGCUUGAGUGCGGUAGGGGAGACUGGAAUUCCCGGUGUAACGGUGGAAUGUGUAGAUAUCGGGAAGAACACCAGUGGCGAAGGCGGCUGUCUGGUCUGUAACUGACGCUGAGGCUCGAAAGCAUGGGUAGCGAACAGGAUUAGAUACCCUGGUAGUCCAUGCCGUAAACGAUGAAUGCUAGGUGUUGGAGGGUUUCCGCCCUUCAGUGCCGCAGCUAACGCAUUAAGCAUUCCGCCUGGGGAGUACGACCGCAAGGUUGAAACUCAAAGGAAUUGACGGGGGCCCGCACAAGCGGUGGAGCAUGUGGUUUAAUUCGAUGCAACGCGAAGAACCUUACCUGGUCUUGACAUCCACAGAACUUAGCAGAGAUGCUUUGGUGCCUUCGGGAACUGUGAGACAGGUGCUGCAUGGCUGUCGUCAGCUCGUGCCGGGAGAUGUUGGGUUAAGUCCCGCAACGAGCGCAACCCUUUUCCUUAUUUGCCAGCACUUCGGGUGGGAACUUUAAGGAUAUUGCCAGUGACAAACUGGAGGAAGGCGGGGACGACGUCAAGUCAUCAUGGCCCUUACGACCAGGGCUACACACGUGCUACAAUGGUCGGUACAAAGGGUUGCUACCUAGCGAUAGGAUGCUAAUCUCAAAAAGCCGAUCGUAGUCCGGAUUGGAGUCUGCAACUCGACUCCAUGAAGUCGGAAUCGCUAGUAAUCGCGGAUCAGAAUGCCGCGGUGAAUACGUUCCCGGGCCUUGUACACACCGCCCGUCACACCAUGGGAGUUUGUUGCACCAGAAGUAGGUAGUCUAACCGUAAGGAGGACGCUUACCACGGUGUGGCCGAUGACUGGGGUGAAG